GAGAGAGAGAGAGAGAGAGAGAGAGAGAGAGAGAGAGAGAGAGAAUUAUAGAAGCCAUGAAGAGUUUUCUGGCAAAGAUGUGGUGUGCAAGAAAUAGGGAAUUGGAAGAUUUGUAAUGGAUACUGCUUGUGUUGUUUUGUUUAUUACAGGUUGUGCCGAUACGAAGGCAUGACUCUCCAACGGGUCACCUGUGAUCUUGAUCUUGAUCUUGAUGUCACAGGUGGCUCGGGAUUUCUCCCCAGCCAGGCCUUUGUACAGCAAGAGCAAGAGCAAGACCGCCAGCCCGCCUCGGCCCCUCAGCCCGCCCCAAAGCUCCCUCCAUGGCCUCCUGCAGGGCUUGAGGUGGUCAGGCUCCCCACAGUGCUGCCCCUCGCAGUGCCAGGGCAGUGCCACACCUGUAAGCUGCGGCGCCAUGCCCGGUCUGAGAGCGCCGCUUGUCUGUGGCUCGGGAUUUCUCCCCAGCCAGGCCUUUGUACAGCAAGAGCAAGAGCAAGACCGCCAGCCCGCCUCGGCCCCUCAGCCCGCCCCAAGGCUCCCUCCAUGGCCUCCUGCAGGGCUUGAGGUGGUCAGGCUCCCCACAGUGCUGCCCCUCGCAGUGCCAGGGCAGUGCCACACCUGUAAGCUGCGGCGCCAUGCCCGGUUUGAGGGCGCCGCUGGCCUGUGGCUCGGGAUUUCUCCCCAGCCAGGCCUUUGUACAGCAAGAGCAAGAGCAAGACCGCCAGCCCGCCUCGGCCCCUCAGCCCGCCCCAAGGCUCCCUCCAUGGCCUCCUGCAGGGCUUGAGGUGGUCAGGCUCCCCACAGUGCUGCCCCUCGCAGUGCCAGGGCAGUGCCACACCUGUAAGCUGCGGCGCCAUGCCCGGUUUGAGGGCGCCGCUGGCCUGUUGUGCCGAUACGAAGGCAUGACUCUCCAACGGGUCACCUGUACAGCAAGAGCAAGAGCAAGACCGACAGCCCGCCCCAAAGCUCCCUCCAUGGCCUCCUGCAGGGCUUGAGGUGGUCAGGCUCCCCACACUGCUGCCCCACGCAGUGCCAGGGCAGUGCCACACCUGUAAUCUGCGGCGCCAUGCCCGGUCUGAGGGCGCCGCUGGACUGGAGUUGCCGGAGCCAGUGUUGACGUCGGACAUGAUGCCACACUUUGAGGACGUAGCGAUCAUUCCUAACCCCGGGGAGCGCGCCGAGGCCAUGCGCCAGCUGAUCAACCGCCUGCCAACCGCCAACCGCCUGCUGCUACAAUACAUGUUCAAGCAUAUGGGACACAUCAUUGCAAGGCAUCUUGUCAGCCGUCCCAGCCUCUCGUCACCCUAUCCCCGCUGGACUCUGGGUAAAGACGUGACCAACCCCCAGCCUCCAGCCUCUUGUCACACCUCCAAGCCUUUCCCCGCUGGACAUUGCUUCGAGACGUGAUGAACAACAACAGCCUCCAGCAUUUGCCACACCUCCGAGCCUCUCUCCUCGUCAUUUGCCCGGUGGACCCUGGA